rnacentral:pre_miRNA from 1 species
GAAGUACUCCCUAUGUACCAAAUUACUUGUCGAAGGAAUUGAUGAAUCUAGACGUAUUUUAAUUCUAGAAACAUACAUUUCUAUCCAUUUUUGCGACAAGUAAUUCCAUAUGGAGGGAGUAUUUG